AUUGAACGCUGGCGGCAUGCCUACCACAUGCAAGUCGAACGCGUGGCGGACGGGUGAGUAAUGUCUUGAAAAGUGCCUAAUGGAGAGAGAUAACUACUGGAACAGGUAGAUAAUACCGCAUACAAUUGGAUCUGCCCAAAUGGGCGUAGCUAGUAGGGGGGGUAAAGGCGCACUUAGGCGACGAUCCCUAGGUGGUCUGAGAGGAUGACCAGCCACACUGGAACUGAGACACGGCCCAGACUCCUACGGUAGGCAGCAGUGGGGAAUAUUGCACAAUGGGCGCAAGCCUGAUGCAGCCAUGCCGCGUGUAUGAAGAAGGCCUUCGGGUUGUAAAGUACUUUCAGCGGGGAGGCGUUACCCGCAGAAGAAGCACCGGCUAACUCCGUGCCAGCAGCCGCGGUAAUUC
rnacentral:rRNA from 1 species